UUAAGUGAAUAAGGGCGCACGGUGGAUGCCUUGGUACUAGGAGCCGAAGAAGGACGGAACUAACACCGAUAUGCUUUGGGGAGCUGUAAGUAAGCUAAGAUCCAAAGAUUUCCGAAUGGGGGAACCCAACACCUUUCAUAGGGUGUUACCAAUGAGUGAAUACAUAGCUCAUUAGGAGGUACACGCAGGGAACUGAAACAUCUCAUUACCUGCAGGAAGAGAAAGAAAAAUCGAUUCCCUGAGUAGCGGCGAGCGAAACGGGAGGAGCCCAAACCAACGAGCUUGCUUGUUGGGGUUGUAGGACUAGAACGUGAGAAGAAAUCAAGAUAGCAGAAGUGGUCUGGAAAGGCCCAUCAAAGAAGGUGACAAUCCUGUACGCGACAUCUUGAUGAACUCUACUAGCAUCCUGAGUACGGCGGGACACGAGGAAUCCCGUCGGAAUCCGCCAGGACCAUCUGGCAAGGCUAAAUACUACCUAGUGACCGAUAGUGAACCAGUACCGUGAGGGAAAGGUGAAAAGAACCCCGGGAGGGGAGUGAAAGAGUACCUGAAACCGUGUGCUUACAAGUAGUCAGAGCCCGUUAAUGGGUGAUGGCGUGCCUUUUGUAGAAUGAACCGGCGAGUUACGUUUACAUGCGAGGUUAAGAUGAAGAGUCGGAGCCGUAGCGAAAGCGAGUCUGAAUAGGGCGCAUGUAGUAUGUGGACGUAGACCCGAAACCAAGUGAUCUACCCAUGUCCAGGUUGAAGGUGCGGUAAAACGCACUGGAGGACCGAACCAGGGCACGUUGAAAAGUGCUUGGAUGAGGUGUGGGUAGCGGAGAAAUUCCAAUCGAACUUGGAGAUAGCUGGUUCUCUCCGAAAUAGCUUUAGGGCUAGCCUCGGAAUCAAGAAUCGUGGAGGUAGAGCACUGUUUGGACUAGGGGCCCAUCUCGGGUUACCGAAUUCAGAUAAACUCCGAAUGCCAUGUAUUUAUAUCCGGGAGUCAGACUGCGAGUGAUAAGAUCCGUAGUCGAAAGGGAAACAGCCCAGACCACCAGCUAAGGUCCCAAAAUAUCUGUUAAGUGGAAAAGGAUGUGGGGUUGCACAGACAACUAGGAUGUUGGCUUAGAAGCAGCCAUCAUUCAAAGAGUGCGUAAUAGCUCACUAGUCGAGUGACCCUGCGCCGAAAAUGUAACGGGGCUAAACAGAUUACCGAAGCUGUGGAUUGGACCUUAUGGUCCAGUGGUAGGAGAGCGUUCUAAGGGCGGUGAAGCAUGACCGUAAGGACAUGUGGAGCGCUUAGAAGUGAGAAUGCCGGUAUGAGUAGCGAAAGACGGGUGAGAAUCCCGUCCACCGAAUAACUAAGGUUUCCUGGGGAAGGCUCGUCCUCCCAGGGUUAGUCGGGACCUAAGGCGAGGCCGAUAGGCGUAGUCGAUGGACAACAGGUUGAUAUUCCUGUACUUCUAUAAAUCGUUUGAGCAAUGGAGGGACGCAGGAGGCUAAGAAAAGCGUACGACUGGAAGUGUACGCCCAAGCAGUGAGUCGGCUGAUGAGUCAAAUGCUUAUCACGGAUGCGACAAGCUGUGACGGGGAGGGAAGUUUAGUACCGAAGUUUCUGAUGUCACACUGCCGAGAAAAGCUUCUAGCAAGAUUUAUAGGACCCGUACCGCAAACCGACACAGGUAGUUGAGGAGAGAAUCCUAAGGUGAGCGAGCGAACUCUCGUUAAGGAACUCGGCAAAAUGACCCCGUAACUUCGGGAGAAGGGGUGCUGGUAGCAAUACCAGCCGCAGUGAAUAGGCCCAGGCGACUGUUUAUCAAAAACACAGGUCUCUGCAAAAUCGAAAGAUGACGUAUAGGGGCUGACGCCUGCCCGGUGCUGGAAGGUUAAGAGGAGAGGUUAGCGCAAGCGAAGCUUUGAAUUGAAGCCCCAGUAAACGGCGGCCGUAACUAUAACGGUCCUAAGGUAGCGAAAUUCCUUGUCGGGUAAGUUCCGACCCGCACGAAAGGCGUAAUGAUUUGAGCGCUGUCUCGACAAUGCAUCCGGUGAAAUUGAAGUACCAG
rnacentral:rRNA from 1 species